GACGAACGCUGGCGGCGUGCUUAACACAUGCAAGUCGAACGGUGAAGGUGGAGCUUGCUCCGCCGGAUCAGUGGCGAACGGGUGAGUAACACGUGGGCAACCUGCCCCAGACUUCGGGAUAACUCCUCGAAAGAGGCGCUAAUACCGGAUACGAACUCCUUGGGCAUCCUGGGAGUUGGAAAGUUUUUCGGUCAAGGAUGGACUCGCGGCCUAUCAGCUGGUUGGUGAGGUAACGGCCCACCAAGGCGACGAGGGGUAGCCGGCCUGAGAGGGUGACCGGCCACACUGGGACUGAGACACGGCCCAGACUCCUACGGGAGGCAGCAGUGGGGAAUAUUGCACAAUGGGCGCAAGCCUGAUGCAGCAACGCCGCGUGAGGGAUGACGGCCUUCGGGUUGUAAACCUCUUUUAGUAGGGAAGAAGCGAAAGUGACGGUACCUGCAGAAAAAGCACCGGCUAACUACGUGCCAGCAGCCGCAGUAACAC
rnacentral:rRNA from 1 species